AAGGUAUAAUAGCUGCCCCCCCAUGGGGGCUUCACAGCGAACCUCGCACGUGAGCCAUCGGAUCUUUACUUCAGUGUAUCUCAGCCGUCCAGUUUUUUCACCGCAUCAUACUAUAAAAGAGACAUCCCACGGUGAAAACCCUAGAGGCUUCUCCCCACUCACCCAAUCCCAGCCGCCACGCCCAAUCCCCAUGCGUCCUCCUCCCCCGUGCCCGGCGGCGCUGCUCCACCUCCCUGGCCGCCACCCACCUUCUCCUCCUAGCCCCGUGUCCUCACCUCGUCGGCCGGCCUCCUCCAUGGAGCUCGAGCUUUCGUGGUGCUCUGCUGGCUGCCGUCAACGAGCUCUUCCUGCCGCUGCCGUGUGCCGUGUCUCCUCACCUCCGGCGUGCCUCCUCCCUAGGCUCAGCUGGAGGGAGGACGACGCGCGUCUCUCCUCUUCCCGGCCGCUGCGCGCCUCUCCUCCUCCUCUCCUCCGGCCUGCUUCUUCCUUGGGCUCAGCAGGUGGAGCACGCUGCAGUAGGAGGAGCAGGAGACGCCACCAGGGGCGCUUCCUCAGCGGGGUGGAGCGCGGAUCGUCCGGUCCUCAGGCCGGCGAGGCGGAUGCUGCGGCGCCAUCGUCUUCAGCGGAGAGGAGCUCGAUCCGCCGCUAGGCCGCCGCCAAGCCGCAGCAGAGGAAGAGCCGCCGCUGCACCACGGGAGAGGUCGGCGCAGAUUGUGUGCAAAGAAUUAGACCUGCAAUGUUGUUAUAGCGGUGAUUGAUCACCUGAAGCUUUUGUACAUCAGACAGACGAUGGACCUAUGGCUUGCACAUUUUGUUUUGACAAAUUGUUGAGGCAUUAAGCAAUGCAUAUUUUAUCCAUGAUUACUCUGAGCCGCCGAAGCUCACCAAGUUUAAUGAGAGGUGAUGGAGCGCUGAACGCGGAGAUGCGCAUGCGGAGAGGUGAUGGAGCAGUGAACAAACAACUAACACAAAAUGAAAUUGAGUCAUGGUUGGGGCGAGAUUGGGCACUGAAUUUUCUACUGGCGGAACAAUUUCAAGAUGCUAAAUGUUUGGUUCUUAUAAUAUCCGAUGACUUGCUCUGGUUGGUGUCGCUCUUUCAUUAUUAGGUCUUUUAUUGAAAGUGCAGCAGCUCGUAUAAGUCUCCAAAUUUUAGAAGUGUUCAAGUUCUUAUGAUCUUAUUCACCAAAACUGCUUGACAUGGCGGCUAUUUGCAGAUGCUCUUCAGCAUUAAUUUUGCACCCUAAGUCUGAUACCUACUUUGCAUCCCUCCCGCAUGUACGCGUGUUCAUUGAAGAAAAUGUGUAUGUUCGUGUACCGUUCAAGCGGUUAAAUAGUAGUCCAUUCAUAUUGCACUUUACCUAGGACUAUUCCUUAAUAAGGUAAGCUUACAACAAGGAUGAUAAAAAGAUGUCACGUUAUUCCUAUGUCUAUUCUGGGAAGUUAUAAUUAUCUUGAGCAGCUAAAAUCAACUAGCAUAGUUAUCUGAAUUCUGUUUAUAUGAUGUUACACGUUCCCCAAGUAAGUAGUAGUGCAUGUUUUGUGUUUGCACCUAUAGGGCUAUACUUUAGUACUGCUUGGCUUAUGUGCUAUUCAGGUUGUACUAUCGUACUAUGCAGAAAAUUAAAAUGUUCUUGCUAUGUAUUAGUUAAUUUACCGCGUCUACGAUUAGGAUACCUCAAAUAGUUUAUAAGCUCGCAGAUAAAGCAUUUGUUUGUUGGUUUAUUUCUUUCUACCAUGUUUAAAAAAUAGGAGGGUAAUUUUCCACCAGCUUUUCCUUUGCUCUGCAACAAACUGUGAAGGUCUAUAUUUAAGUUGUAUCCAUGGCCUGAGCAAGUUGCUCCUGUAAUGUUCAGUUUUUUCUACUGCUAUAUAUAUAUAUAAAGGAAUCAUCUUAUUCUUUUUGGUAUUCAUUUGCAUCCAAAUAGCAAUUUGUUUUUUUUUUGUUUUAGUGGAGUGGUUAGUAGUUACUGUGUUCUUCUUGCAGUCUAUAGGGCAUUUACACUAUGGUUGCUGUUUCUUUUCAGUUUGGCUUAUCGAUCUUCGUCUCGCAUGGUCUCAAGUAUUAUCCUUCUUGAUGUGUCUGAAAAAUGCAGUCUUAAUGUGAGGGGAUGUCAUGCUAUCCGGGCCAUUGCAGAACUAGGCUAUUUUGCUAGUGCCUUAAAGAGAAGGGAGUGUUCAUUAUGCACCAACAAAUGCAGCAACCUCGAGUUUUUGGAAGCCUAGUGUCAAAUUAAAAGUCAUAGGAAUCAGAUCUGGAUUCAGAAGAUGCCCUGCAUCCUUGAUAUUUUAUAUUUGAAUGCUUCACCCGGAAGAGGACUUUUUUUGUGCUUCCCAUUACAAAAUUAUAGUUACCUUCUUAGGAAGGUAGACUAUUGGGGAUGUCUUUAUUUUGGAAAAAAGGAAGCUUCUUCUUAGAGUAAGUAAUUUUCAACAAUAUGGAUUACAAAGCUUGUGGAGUCACAUCAACUUAUUAGGAUACAUAUGCUCAUAUCCAUGAAUUUAAAGCUAAUUAAAGAGUUUCGGAUUCUGAGAAGAAACUGGCUAGACAAAAUAUUUAUUCUCAGAGGUGAUAAAUUGCAGGUGACGACAUAGAUUUUAUUUAAUUUUUAUCAUGUCGCCCUUAUGUGCAGGCCUUUCUCUUCAGUGAUUUUCUUACAUCAAAGAUUUAUUUCCACUGUUGCUGAAGGUUCUCUCCUCAAGUUCAACGUGGCACGUUUGGUCUCACCAUCAGCAAUUCAGCUUUGCAUUAUAAGUUAAUAGCCUCAUGGUAAAAAAUCAAUGAUGUAGCCAGUGCCAGCCUGGUGAACACUGAAAAAUAUAUCAUCUACUUUGCUUUCAUAUGUUGUAGCAUUGCAGGAUGUGUUUUGAUGUUCACGUGUGGUUUCUGUUUGAUCAGAAAAAAAAAUAGACAACAAGGCAUGUAUGUUGUUGCGGUAUAGUUCAGCAAAGAGGGUUUGAGAAGAGAAAAUUGCUGGUUGUUGUGGUGUCGCUUUCACAGUUGCCCGUUUAUCCUUUAAUUUUGCAACAUUCCAUUUUGUAUUAUUUUAAGUUGGUACAUCAGUGAUCUAGCCCAUGUAACAUUACUUAAUACAAUAUUUUACAAACUUUUU